rnacentral:tRNA from 1 species
GAUUCCGUAGCUCAGCAGGUAGAGCACAUCACUUUUAAUGAUGGGGUCCUGGGGUCGAGCCCCAGCGGGAUCACCA